rnacentral:lncRNA from 1 species
CAAAAUGGCGGAAGCCGAAGUAGAAGUGAUAAAAAUGAGUGAAGAACAAGCCGAAAAUAAUAUAGAAGUUACAGAUGAUACUUCUCUCUACAAAACAAUAGUCAUAGAUAAACAGAUGCAUAGUUAUUGCAAGAUGUCUGGAUCAAAAAAAGAAUUGAAGAAAAUUAAAAAAGAAAUCAGUGAAGAUGAUGAUGACGACGAUUCUUCGGUGUACUGUAUUUGCAGGACGAAAGAUACAAGCAGGUUUAUGAUGUAAGAUUAAAUUAUUAAUAUCAUGUGUUAUAAAUAAUUCAAAAUUUUGUUAUAAAUUUCA